rnacentral:rRNA from 1 species
GCAAAACGCGAAGAACCUUACCCGGGUUUGAACGUAGGGAGACAGGAGUGGAAACAUUCUUUUCAGCAAUGACUGCCUACGAGGUGCUGCAUGGUUGUCGUCAGCUCGUGCCGUGAGGUGUCGGCUUAAGUGCCAUAACGAGCGCAACCCUUAUUUCCAGUUACUAACAGGUAAUGCUGAGGACUCUGGAGAGACUGCCAGCGUAAGCUGUGAGGAAGGUGGGGAUGACGUCAAAUCAGCACGGCCCUUACAUCCGGGGCGACACACGUGUUACAAUGGUAAGGACAAAGGGCAGCUACCGGGCGACCGGAUGCGAAUCUCUAAACCUUAUCUCAGUUCGGAUCGGAGUCUGCAACUCGACUCCGUGAAGCUGGAUUCGCUAGUAAUCGCGCAUCAGCCAUGGCGCGGUGAAUACGUUCCCGGGUC